CACACGCGUCUCCUCUCCUCUCGCUCGGCUAGCUAGCUAGCUAGCUGACGAUACGAGACGCCCCAUCCCUCUUCCCCCUCACGCGCACGCUUUCUUCUCUCGACGACGGACGGCCGGAGGCCGGAGGGGCUAGCCGGCCGGCCGGCCGGUUCCUUCCCCGCCUGCCCCGGUAAGACAUGUCACAUAUCACCGCAUGUGUGCGUGCUUUGCUCGCCGUCUCUUGUCUCGGCUUGGUUUCUUCGUCGUGUGGUUUUGGUUUUGGUUUUUGGGGAAGGAUUUGGACGUUUUUGCCGAUGAUCUGUAGGUUUCCUGUUUCGGGUUUGAUUUGCCGAUCGCGUUGGCGUGUACUCCUUUGACGCCACGCGAUUUCUCCAGAUCUUUCAGUGGCUGGGUUCUGAACUUUUGAUGGUGGAUCUUUGUGGUCGGUACAUCGUUUUGCCGAUGAUCUUCGUGAGGCUUCGUCCACGUCCUCUCUACCGGUUCCUACCGGCCACCGGUGUUUUCCACUAACUUGUUCUGUUGUUCACAUGCUCCCGACGCCAUUCUUCAGUCCGGAUCUUUGCUGGGGCGUCAUACCGUAGCCUUGGAUGAAUGAUAUAUAGUCGACCAGGCAGGGGAGGUUUUCUCCCAUCUUUCUUUCUUUCGGUGAGUUUUGGUCGAGGAUCUCGCGUUCUCGCCUCCAUGGUGGGUGUAGAUGGGCUUCCUCCGCGUCCUGCUGAGGUUCUUCACAUCGGGUUUUACAUGUGGUUCUCUACCUCGUUUUACUAUAGUCUAGACGCCAUGCUUUUGUCCUGGAUCUUUGCUUUUGUCCUUGGAUGGAUCAUGAUGGCCAACCGGCCGGCCGGGCAGGGCCACGAUCAUGUUUAUAUAUAUCCUGUUUUUUUUUUUUGGCUUGCUCUUGAAUUCUUCUGUGGAGCCGUGUCACCGGCGCCUCUCCCCAUUUCUGUCCAUCUGCUUUUGCUUGGCCUACUCGUUUUCUACGUAUUUAGUGUCAAUUCAGGCCGUUGGUUUGGUUAAUUUGCGUCUCUCUCUCUCUCUCUCUGCUUCCUCGGUUUGUAUCGGUGACGCCAUGCUUUUGUCCUGCAUAUUUCCUUGGGCGUCGUAGCCUUGGAUGGAUAUACUAGUAGCAUCAUGUGUGUGUGGAUUUUUUUUUUAUCGGGAAAAGCUUGGAAACAACCGGCUGAUCCAGCAUCGUGCGUCCGUCGCCUCCAGCGCGUGAUGUGUGUGCCAUGCAUGCAUGACCUGCGCGGCCACUACAUCUUUAUUGUAAUUUUUUUGCAAAAAUACCUUUAUUGUAAAAGUUUCUUCCGCAACAACACUCAUAUUACAAAAAACCUGAAAACACAAAAAGAAAUUCUGCAACAAGUCGUUUGUUGCAAAAAUAAAAAUGCAACAAAUCAUAGUGCGACCAUGUUUAUAUCGUGUUUUAUUCUUUUGGCUUGAUCUUGCUUUCUUCUGUGGAUCCCUGUCUCCGGCGCCUCUCCCCAUUUCCAUCCAUCUUUCCCUUUGCUUGAUUGGCCUACUCAUAUGUUCCGAUCACCCUCUGUACUUGCAUCUCAUCAUCCCUUUCGUUUGGUUUGAAUCCGGAUGACGGUGCUUCUACAAUCUGAUCUAUAAAUAUAAUGGUGGUGUCGCUGUUUGUAUUUGUGUAGUUCGAAACCAGAUGAACGUGCUUCUCUGCCUAAUUCAUGGUUACAUCUUUUUUUGAAAAGGAGGAAACGAGUCCUCGGACUCUGCAUCAAUCGAUGCAUGCAGCCAUAAUUGAUGGUUACAUCUAGUUGUGUUUGCAUAUAUUCCGCAUCUGGACUUUCGAUUAAGAUGUAUUCCAUUGCUUUGUUCUGCAAGAGUUUUAACCUUGGUGGUGGAUAUGUGAUCUGUCCUUGGUGGAGAUGUAGAUUGCACCGACGGGGUAAUUAACGCUCUCCUCUGUUGAACUUGCAACCGAUUGGUUUUUUUGUUUUGUUUUUUUUCUUGCGGGGGGCUCGUAACCGAUGGUUGAUGGAUACUUCUUGCAGAUCUGUAGAUCUUGCUUUUUUAAGUGGAGUUAUGUGACCAGUUGCCCAUAGGAUGCAUUGGCGCCUCCCCCCAUUUUUGUCCAUCUGCUCUUAGUUGCUCUAUUUCUUCUGAACGCUUCGUGUACUUGGCAUUUCAUCACCCUUUUGGAUUGAAUCUGGCUUACUGUGAUUCUAUUUUCGAUUUAUACAUGGUGACGUCUCGUCACAUGCCUGGCUUGAAUCUGGGUGAAGCUUCUACGCUUGAUUUAUGGUGACAUAGCUAGUUGUAUUUGUGUAGUUCGAAACUUGCAUCCCUACAAAUACUAAAUCAAACUUAAACAAAAGGAAGUCACUAAGACCAAUUAUCAUGCAACCAGCCAUAUGAGAAAAGAAACACAAGUCAAGAAACCAUUUAGUCAGUGGGAAUCGAAAUGAAAGCCUAUGUAGUCAUUAAUUGGCUCUCUCUGGAGGCCCAAAUGCAACUCGCACGCAGUUGAAUGAAGUGAGACAAAUAGCAGCUUCUAGGUUAUAAGCAUGCAAGACUAUGAAGUUGUCCUAUCAGGACGUGUUUAGAUAUCUGCAAGAAGUUUUGUGGGUAAGAAAGUUUCCAGUAAGCAUCUAGUUAUGUUUGUGUAGAUAUGUGUUUUCGCAUCUGAACUUCUAAUUAGCACGUUUCUCUAAUGGUCUAAUCUAUGGUUAUGUUGCGCAGGAGUCUUGGUUUCUGUGGUGGUGAAUCUGUGACCUGCCCUUGGUGGAGAUCCAUAGAUUGCACCGGCAAGGUAAGCUGAGGGUUGAGUGGUGGUGGGCACUAUGUGGAUCCUCGGCAGCUGCUGCUGGUGCACUGCUUCAGCGGAAACCCUGGGAUCUGGUCUUACAGAUCGGACGAUGGUGAUACUCCGGUGUCGUUUUUCUCUUGGGAACAUCAUUUGUGGAGCAACGUUGGAUGACAGAGGCAGGAGGUGGAGUGGCUUCGUCUUGCAUGGAGCUGUCAAGUCAUGCCUAGUUGGCAAGUGCUACGCAUGACAGUUCUUCCAGAGUCUUGGUGUCUGUACGUAUGAGCGCAGGGCGAUGGGGCCGUUGGGCGCCGUGGUGGUGUCGACGUAUGUAUGAACUUGCAAGGAUGAUGCGGAUCUCUUUUCUGAAGAUGGGUCAGUGGUAUGAAGAUGAUGACGGCUCCUAAAACAUGUGCAUGUGGUAUGCACUUCAGGUCUGCUGCAUCGGUUGUUGGUCCCGGUACGUUAUGUGAGUGAAUUGGUGACGACACCGGUUUUAGAUAUGGGGAGUGAGAGCACUUCAUGUUAUCGAAUUUGUAGGUGUGAGUGGUGGCUUCGGGUGGGUUGAUGUAUGUUUUUAUCAGACCUUUUUAGAAUAAUUAAUAAAGAUGACCGCAUGCAUCGAUUGAUGCAGAAGCCG
rnacentral:lncRNA from 1 species